UGCCAGACUCCUACGGGAGGCAGCAGUGGGGAAUAUUGCACAAUGGGGGAAACCCUGAUGCAGCGACGCCGCGUGAGCGAUGAAGUAUUUCGGUAUGUAAAGCUCUAUCAGCAGGGAAGAAGAUGACGGUACCUGACUAAGAAGCCCCGGCUAACUACGUGCCAGCAGCCGCGGUAAUACGUAGGGGGCAAGCGUUAUCCGGAUUUACUGGGUGUAAAGGGAGCGUAGACGGCGAUGCAAGCCAGAUGUGAAAGCCCGGGGCUCAACCCCGGGACUGCAUUUGGAACUGUGUGGCUGGAGUGUCGGAGAGGCAGGCGGAAUUCCUAGUGUAGCGGUGAAAUGCGUAGAUAUUAGGAGGAACACCAGUGGCGAAGGCGGCCUGCUGGACGAUGACUGACGUUGAGGCUCGAAAGCGUGGGGAGCAAACAGGAUUAGAUACCCGAGUAAU
rnacentral:rRNA from 1 species